ensembl:snRNA U6 U6 spliceosomal RNA
GAGCUCAGGUUCGGCAGUACAUAUACUAAAAUUGGAACGAUACAGAGAAGAUUAGCAUGGCCCCUGUGCAAGGAUGAUAGGCAAAUUCAUGAAGCGUUCCAUUAUUUU